rnacentral:misc_RNA from 1 species
CGCACAUUGCGCCCACUAGUAUUCUGGUGGGCAUGCCUGUUCGAGCGUCAUUAAGUCCACUCAAGCCCAUUUGCUUGGUAUUGGGAGCCUACUUCACUGUAACUCCUCAAAGACAGCGGCGGAGUCGUGUUUUCCUCUGAGCUUAGUAAUUACUUUCUAGCUUGUGAGCGAGGCGCGUCCCCUGCCGUAAAACCCCCAUCUUUUUAAUGGUUGACCUCGGAUCAGGUAGGAAUACCCGCUGAACUUAA